GGGCCGAGCGCGAGCCCGGUCAUCCGUCUCGGCGGCGAAAACUAUACCGUUCAGGACAUCUCCUACGACAGCGACAACUACAAGGUUACUCUGGUGGACAGAGACGUGCUCGUCGGUGGCAGCUGCCCUGCAGUCCGCCACGGCGUCACCUUCGAUGGGAUGUGGCUGCAUAACACCAGCUCCAACGACGACCUCACCUUCUACUUCGGCUGCUACUCAGGCGAGCCCCGCAUGCCGGCUGGAUUGCACAAAUACCAAAUCGACUGCAAUUUCGAGAGUCCGGUUCCUGGCGGCGGAGUUGCGUUUGUAUUGACACCUGAUGAUCAUGACAAAGCCCAAGAGCACGACCUGGCUGCAGACUGCCAUAAGGUUGUCUCCGUGCUAGUAAAGAAUGAGGUUCUGGAGGUGGCAAGAACCUGGACCAACUUCACAAGUGGCGCAUACGGGUACGUGCUGAAGCAGGGAUUCGAGUUGGGCUGGAGCCCGAUGGAGACGGGUCCCUGUCCCCAGUGCGAGGAGUCCGGCGGGAAGUGCGCCUACAGGCAGAACAAGACAUUCCUGGGUUGCUUGUGCUCCGACGGGAAGGUGGGCAAGCCGGACUGCAACAGCACCGCGCCUGCAUCAAGUAAGUCUUUGAGACCUGAUCCUUCGAUUGCACAUUCGGCAGUUUCUUGUGACCCUCGUUAAUUCGCGUCUCGUUGUGUCCCGCUGAUUGCCUCGUGCUAAUGGUGAAAGUUAUGGCCUGGCCUGGUCUGAAAUUAGUUGGGUCUGCCUGGGAAAUUAGUGCCUGGGUAGGUAGAAAAUAGAAGCUCUGGUUCCCGUUCUAAUCAAAUGACAAGGACGGUUAUAGCCGUAUUUGCUUUGAUAUACUCUUUCACCAAAUCCGUGCUUUUUCGCGAACGAUUCAGGCGGUCUGCCGUGCUCCACAACCGUAUUACCCUUGUUUCAGUGUAGAACAUACCAGUCCACACUCCACAGACCAGAAGCUUAGAACUGGCUUUGGCAGGCAAGUGGCAGAAUGUUCAGUGGCGCACUUGGUUAAUUAGAUGAGUGGACUUUUUUUGGACUUGACAUGGUUAAUUUUUUUGGACUUUUUUUGCAAUCACCACACCACGCGCAUUCGAGAUUUCCGGGAUGCAUUAGUAAUUUCCAUCUGUUAGCUAGCCUCCUUGUGCCCGUCUCCGUAGUGUGCGUGCCCCUCUGCUCCUAAUCAUGCUGCUCGCCUCGAGCUAAUGGCGAAAGUUGGACCUGACCUUGUCUGAAAUUCCUUGAGUUCGCCUGGAAAAUUAGUUCCUGGGUAGGUAUAGAACUGGAAAUUCUAGUUCCUGUUUUCAUCAGUCGACAAGGGGUCUGUUCGCUUCAGCUUAUAAGCCGGCUGAAAAGCCGAAACGGCUGAUUUGUUGUGAGAGGAAAAUACUGUUUGGUGGCUGAUAAGCCAGCUGAAUAAGCUGAAGCGAACAGGCCGAAGGAUGGUUUGCAGCCUUUCUUUCGCCUGCUUUUGCACCAAAUCCGUGCUUUUCUCAUGAACGAGAUUCAUCAGGCGGCCCGGUGGCCUGCCGUGCUCCACAGCAUUUCGUAGAUCAGAGGACAGUACGUUCCCUGUUUUUGCAGCGUGGAACAAGUGCAGGAUACUAAACGCAGCCCCCCAGACCGGGUUUGCAUCGCCGAAUGGAGAAGUUCGUUAGCAUUUGGUAGCUCUAGCAGCCAGACGACCUUUUUUUUGGGUGGGUGGGGGGUGUCUUGCACGUCCAGAACAGGGCAACGCUAAUCACAGCGCGCGUGCGAGAAGGUGCUGCCGGCGCUCGAUCCCCGACGAGCCACUCCCGUCCCGCGAUUUUCUUUUUUGAAAAGUUUAAAAUCCUGCACCUUUCCAUUUUCAGAAUAUCAUAACUUAUACAUAUAACUUCGAUGCAUAACUUUAUAAUAUAACUUCUUAUGAGAUAAUUUUUAGCACUACAAUAGCGUGCAGAACUUAUGCGUAUAACUUCUAUGUACUUCGAAUUUUGUUUCUUAUAAAGUUAUAACCUGUCCACACAACUUAUAUGCGUAACUUUUUUCCUAACAAUUUAGGUGAUAAUUCCAUAAUACAAUUUUAAUGAUAUACACAAGUUAUACACGUGACAUUUGUCACAAUUUUUGAGAUAACGUUGUUUAAAAAUUAUACACAUAAUUUACAGUACAAAUUGUAGAAAAAAUAAUUGAAAAAAAAGAAAAAAAACGUGCGGGGUCGCGCAGCCCCACUGUUCCGCGUGGGCCAGCUGCACAUGGGCGCGGGGAGUAUCGCGCGCCACGAAGCCGGUCGGCGCGCGCUUGUAGAAUUAGCUUUGCGCGCGGGAUGGUUUUGCUCCUCAAGGAUCUUUGCUGGAGCCAACAGCAAACUGGUCGUGAGAGCAGAGACCGUCAGAUAAAUUACUAUGCUUUGGAUCUUUGGUAGUUUCGUCCAUCCAAAGACGUGUUUCCGGGGCUUCGAGUCGGUAGUGAAAGCAUGCUUGCUUUUUUUCCUUUUGUGAAAAGGUGAAAGUACGAUUUCUAUUCGCUUUGAUUUCAGUGUUUCACAAAACAGAGCGGCCCUGACGUUUAGUACUACUGCAGUUUAUGUAGUUGCUGACUACGUAGGAAUAUUAGACGCAAACCUUUCCUAUAUACCCCUCCCUUCCGGUGUUCCAUCCAACCCUGCGAAGCAGGAUGAACCAAACUUCUUUUCUGAAAGAGCAAUCCAGUAGCAAGGGGGAGAUUGUCUCGCAUUCCUGGACACAACAGGCACAUAAAUCGUUAUCCUGCAACUGAUGACGUUUUUAUGAACAGAUUUCCAUAAGAAACCUAAUCAAUUUACUAGCCUUAGCUGUAUUACAUCAUUACCUGCACGUGUAGGACAGUCCAUUUGUCGGAGCGAUAGCAAACUGGUCAUCACUCGUCAGAGCAAAGACUGUCGUACAAAUAGUGUAAUUGCUAUGGUCCAUCCAAAGUAUGCUUCCGGGCAGGGUUAGACUUGGUCCGCGCGUAUGUAAGUCAACUGAAAUCCUACCCAGGGCAGUGACGCAUUCUAGACCAAACAAGCCGCGCGAUGACGUAAUAGUAGUACUAGGAUGGCAGGCGCGCUAGGCCGCGCCCGUAUACUAAGAGUCCAUGCAUGCUCGUCUAAUUGAACAUCUCUGAGCAAUAUAAACACCAUAGUAAGAGAGCAGUAGACAUCACGGUCAAUGGACAACUUCAAUUUGCAUUGAACAUAAACGUGGUAGUUCUUUCGCUCAUAUGUAACAGGUGCGGUUAUAGGUUUGUCAAACUUAAAUAUGGGGAAAAAUACUGGUAUCGAUCAUUUGAAGCAAAAAAAAAAAGAAAAGAAAUUUUACGGCUUCCGGUCAGCAACCACUGACAGCAUCCAUUUGAAGCCAAGCUAUAGGCACAAUAUUUCACGAACUGUACGAACUAUCAGGUCAUGAUAUUCGAAAAAAGACAUGGUAGUUAAGAAGAACAUCUGCUGGUAUUUUGGUGCUCAAAGAAGAAAAAUAAAUUACAUGCUCAUCUGAAGCCAAGUAGCUGAAGCAGCACUGAAGAAGCAGUCAAUUAAAUUGGGGGAAAUGACCAAGGAAAGGAAAGUACAAAGACGAAAUAUUGCAUCAGGCCUUCUAUUUCAGGAUUGGGAACAAUUCAUCUGAUAAUAUGACUAUAUGAGGCAACCAAACAUUGAAACAUGUAAAGUCCAGAAUCAAAGAUAAAGUUGUUGAGAUGAAUUGAGGAAGUGCACGUAAGAACUAAAGAAAUGAAGAAAGUGCAGAGAUGGCGGAGCUUACACAGAUAUGGAGCUUACAGCCUUACACUGCCAUCACCUCUGCCGAGGACGCGGCAAGCCAGAUCAGGAAUUCAGGAUCCGAUGGCGAAGCCUUUUCUGGAGGUGUGCCCCGUCCAGGAACCAGAGGAGAGCGGCGAUGGCAGCGAGAGAGGAGAAACCCACGAAGGCUGCUCCGAUGUGGUCCGUCGACGCUGCUGCGUUCCCCGUUGGCGACGAGUCCGCCAUCUCCGCCAUAGUCGCGGCUGCUUUGGCGUGCUACCUCAGUGUGUGAGCUCCUGCCGCCGGUCUGCCUUUUGUGCGGCCACGAAGGGGAUGUGGACGGACGGGAUUGAGCCGGAGCGUCGGGGACGGCACUGGAGCCGAGGGUGCGGCAGCGACGGCGGAAGAGGCGAGGCGAACCAGACGGAGUCAAUUUCGUCCGCGGGCAAGGAAGGCGCGUACGCCUGCUACGUGAGCCUCCCGUACCUGCGUUUUCCUCAGGGUCGGUCCCGCAGAAGACGUGGCUGCCUGUAACAGGCAGAGACGCGGGGGAGCUCCCGGAGGCGUGCAAAUCUUACAGGGAUGUAUCUCUACUUUAUGCACUAUGCAGCCGAGAUCGCAGAUCAAACGGCUUGACACAAACCAGCAAGACGCCAAGUCGACGUUGCUUCAGUCUCCAAGCGUUUCGACGUCUCCACCGGUGGCCCACCGCCAACCAAUUAAACAACCUUCUCAAAAAAUAAAACCAGGUCAACUCCACUCAUCUAACCACGCGACCUAGUAUAAACGGCUGCGCGCUUAAGGAAGCAAACUGACUAGAUCAUCAGCUAAACAAGCACAGCCAAAGCGUCCGAGUCGUCGGCUCCGCGCCAUGGCUCACCUACCACGUUUCCUCCCCGUCAUCCUCUUCCCCUUCCUCUCCCUCGUCGCCCAUUGCCCCGCCUCCCAUGGCACCCCUCUUCCGCCCACCUACGACGUUUCCAUGUGCGUGGACUCGCCGAUCUGGUGCGGCGGCGUCGAAAUCCACUACCCGUUCUACCUCGCCAACGCGACCGCCUACCACUACGGCGCACCCUUCUCUUGCGGGUACACCGACCUGAAGAUAGCCUGCAAGGACGACGGGGAAACGCAGACCCCCGUCAUCCACCUCGGCCGAGCCGACUACACGGUCCAGAACAUCUUCUACAACAACAACAGCUUCCUGCUGGCCGACGCCGACGUGCUUCGCGGCGGCGAUUGCCCCAGGGUCCGCCACAACGUCAGCUUCGACGAGGCGUGGCUGCAGUUGCGCAACACCAGCUCGCACGACAAUCUCACCUUCUUCUUCGGCUGCUUCUCCAAGCAGCCAGGCGGCGGCGAUCCUCGGCCGCUCGGUUUCGACACGGAUAAGUACCGGAUCAACUGCACGGGGUCGGGGAACGCACCUGGUGGUGGAGCCUCGUUCGUGUUCGCCGACGAAGAGCUCGACAACGCCCAAGAGUAUGAGUUGGCCGCGCACUGCGGGGAGAUCGUCACCGUGCCGGUACGAAGCGAGGUUCUCGAUCUCAUGGCGAGUGAUCAGUCCAUGUUGGCGAGGGGUGGAUACGGCGGCUUGCUAAGGCAGGGGUUCGAGCUCGCUUGGACCCGGAGCACCAAGGAUCAAUGCCACCGGUGCGAGAACUCCGGCGGGCGGUGCGCCUACGGCUACGCCAAGGCUUUCCUCGGUUGCUUGUGCAGCGGGAAGGUCGGUGACCCGUACUGCAAAAACAGUAGUGCCAGCACAGUACAACCGCCAAGUAAGUCCUCCAGGCUCCAGGACUCAUCCUUCGAUUUUACCCCUCGUUUCUGCGAUCACCAGACGCGUUCCAGUAGCUUGUCGCGUUUGGUGCUUUCUUGGCUUCUUGUCCCCGCUGCGGCUGCUUCUCUGUUUAGCCCCGCGAGUUUUUUUUUUUUGAUAAAUGGUCCGCGAGUAGUUAUAGUUUGGCUGAAAAAUACCGCGUGGGUAUGUAGAAAAGAUAGGAAUUCCAAUUCGCAUUUCCUCAUUCGGUAUCCCGUUUUGUUCUUUUUCACGAACGAGAUUCAUCAGGCGGCCCGGCGUACUCCACAGCGUUUCGUAGAGCAUAGAACCAAACUGUCCUUCCUUUCAGUCUGAACUCCGAAACAAGAGUCAGGUUACUACCUACUGCUCACUGAAUUCAUGCCGAAAGUGUGAAACACAGCCUACACACCUGGUUUAAUUUGCAUCGCUGAAUUGAGAAGUUAGCUAGCAUUGGCUAUGGUAGGCAAAUGACCAGAAGCGUUUUCCUUACACGUUUAGAACACGUAUGAUACUUGAGUUGCUGCAGGCUCUUCGUUGGAGCGACAGCACACUGGCCGUGAGAGCAGAGACCGCCAUGCGAGUACCCAAACGCUACGUUUGGUCCAAAUUCAAGACGUGUUGCUGAGGUCGGAGAAAAGCCUAGUUUUGCGUUCACUGAGAUAGUUCGACUACGGUGGUUCCCAAAACAGAGCCGACUGGGUCCCCUGCCGUUUAUUAGUACCGCAAACUUUCUAACUGCUGACCACUCCGGACCAUUGAACGCAAAUCUUCUAGUGAGAAUACUUACAUGAAUAUCGAUCCAGAACCAAGACCAAGGACGCGACCUUUCUUUCUUCCAAGGGUGUUAGCCAAUGGAAAACGCGCGAGUGUGCACGGAACAGCGACGGGAGCGGGAGGUGCCAACACCUGACUUCGCCAAGGCAGAGUAAUUGCCUAAUUGGCAUCUUGCGAGACCCAGCUGGUCACAGUCAGCCACGGCUCUUUGCCCCACUUUGCCGCCAUGUCCCUCUCGUCGGCAACCCGGCCGCCGAUCGACCUUGAAACUCAUCAGGCCCUCGCGACCUUAUAAACGGAGGCCGGCCGCCACCAAACCAGAGGGGGCAAUAAAGUAGCCUGACCUGUUUAGGUUUAGCCAUGGCUCUCUUGCUACGGCACCGGCUGCUGCUGCCGCCGCUGCUUCUCCUUGCCAUCUUGGUUGCCGCUUCCCAUGGCGCGCCUUCCAGCGGGGGCGAUAGCUACGACACCUCCAUGUGCGUGCGGCAACCUUACAACUGCGGCAACGUCAACAUCAGCUACCCGUUCUAUAGCAAGAUGGAAACUCUCCUGGGAAACGACAGCUCGUACUGCGGCUACCCUGGCAUGGAGAUUCAGUGCGAGGAAGGCCGAGCCUUCCUGGAACUCGACAGUGGCAAGUACACCGUCUCGCGCAUCGACUACGAGCCCCCCGGAGUCUGGCUUGCUGAUCCUGAUGUCCUCAACGAGGGGAGCUGCCCCAGAGCCAAUCACAACGUGACGCUCCGGAACGGCUCAUGGCUGGACUAUCCUAACGACACCGUCGAUUACCUCGUCUUCUUUAUCAAUUGCAACUUCCUCAACGUCACCGACAUCGCUCGGCCACCGUCAAACACGGACUCCACCUGCAAAUUCGAUGACGAGCCGGCGUAUGGGAUGUCUUUUGUGUUUCGGAAGGAAGACGUGCCGCACCAGGACACGAAUUGGUGGCAGGUGUGCGGCAAAGUUAUCGAAGUGCCUGUGCUCAAAUCCGGUCUCCCUACCGAUCCACAAAAUGAUCCUAGAUGGAGGAACGGUGGGUACGGCAGCAGUCUUCGUGAAGGAUUCCAGUUGGCAUGGCACCAAGAGCGCAAGGCCCCCGCGUGUGACCAGUGCGAGCGAUCCAAGGGGCAGUGCGGCUACAACCAGACGGGGGGACACGUAGCAUGCUUGUGCUCCGGCGGGCGAGUCGGCGCUCCCAAUUGCUCCUCAGGUAAGCCUAGAAGCUUUUGCUCUGCUUUUCCAAACUGCCCGGGGAUUACUGGUUACUUUGCUUCAAUUCAUCGUACCGUCCUUCAUUUUGUUUUCUCUACAAUCGUUCCCCCUUUUUAGAUCCCUGUAGAGACUAGGGUCAAAGCUCCUUUUUAGGGAAUUUGUUAAUUGAUGAACAUAAAACUGUUUUGAACUUAAGUAAAAUUUGCCCACCUGUUCUCUUAGGUAUCUAUAAUUGCGUUUUUUUGUGGAUCCUUGAAUUAGCAAGAUAUUUGGAAAUGGCAAAGUUUCUGGUGAAAUUAUACGGAAUGUCUGUCACAACUCACAUGCAACUCUUUUUGGGUACAUCAAUCAACCGACUUGGAUCAUACGAGUCCUAAGAGGAAAAACACAGAACUGAUGACUAUAGGUGACUAGCGUGCAUUCAUGGUAGUGACUGGCAACAACCUACCAAUGGAUUCCCUACUAUCUAUGUUACUAUGUACAUGUUCAUUAUUAGUGUCAAUUUCCAAAUCUUUCAAAAGGCUUGAAACUACAGCCCAUUUUCCUUGUGUUGUUGAUCUAACACGGUUCCUCUUGUAUCGGUCACCUGCUUUAGGAUGGUAGAAUAUUCUUAGCUCCGUAAGACGACUAUAUAUGCCAUUUCUGUACACUUAUGUGCUUCUUUGCUUAUGUAAUUGCAGGACUUGAUACUAAGAAAACUAUAAUCGGUAAGCAACCUCUAUCUUGGGUUCACUUUCAGUGUUUUUCCUUUGUUUAUUCCUAUACUAAUCUGUUGCUAAGUCUGCUUUACAUGUGCCUAUAUAAUCUGCACCCAUCUUCAUUUUGUCCAAAAGAGCAGAACAAAGACAUAUGGCUAAUUAUUGGCACGCCGUGUUUUAAAUGAAGCUAGAAAUGAUGGAUAGAAGUUGAAAAAAAAAGUUGGAGUGGCACAAACUCAUCUUAUAUAGCCACCUCCUUCAAAGAAAUCAAGAGCAAAACCUUCCUCCUUAGAUUUGGUAUUUUUGAAGCUUUUCCCGAGCUCCUCUUGGGCAAGCUCCAAAUGGAAGGUUGCUUGGGAAAAAGAUGCCCGUGGCCUUAAAUGAGCGAGCUCUGUGCUGGCGGGCGACAUAAGCCAACCGCUAGCACAGAUGGGGUGUGUUGGCGGGUGCUGAGGUCGCCUGCUAGUACAGUGGCUUCUGUGCUGGCGGGCUCCCGCCGGCACAAGAAAGCUUUGUGCUAGCGGGUACCAAUAAUAAAUUGCCUGUGCUAGCACAAAUCAAAUUGAAACUACUGUUGUUGAUCUAACACGGUUCUUCUUGUUUCGUUCACCUGCCUUUUUCAUGAAGCCAUGUAAUCUGUUUUUGGGUGUACGGUAGAAUAUUGUUAGCUUUGUAAGAUGCUUAUAUAUGCAAUUUAUGUGCACUUAUGUGUUUCUUUGCGUGUGUAAUUUGCAGGGCAUGGUAAUAAGAAAACUACAAUCGGUAAGGAACCUCAAUCUUGGGUUCACUCAAUGUUUUUCUUUUGUAUUCGUAUACUAAUCUGUUACAAAGCCUGCUUUACAUAUGCCUAUAUAAUCUGCACCCAUCUUCAUUUAGCCUAAAAGAGCAGAAAACAAAGGCAUGGCACGCCAUGUUUUAAAAUCCAUGAUUCUCACAAAUAUAUUAUUUUGGAAUCCACUGCCGAUGACAACAAUGGCGAAAAAUUAUAUCGUCCCUUUGGAAAAUAAACUUUCGAGUUUCCCUACUGACUGGCAAUAUAUGCAUUAUGCUUUGCAAAAUGGAUUUUUAGAACGCUUCGCAAAAUGACUGAACAUUGGAGAAGAAUUUUUUAUCCUUCCUCUGGGAAAUAAACCUAUGUGUUUCCCUACUGACUUUGCAAAAUGAAUUUCUAGAGCACUUCACAAAAUGGAUUCAUUUGUGAUGUCUUGUUGUGAUGCAGGUAUUGUUGCAAGCACAUCGUGCCUUCUAUUUCUGAGUCUACUUAUUCUCGCGUUCUUCUUGACCUGCAAAUAUGGUUCGCUGCCCUUUAAAUCAAAGAACAAACCAAGGAUUGAAUCCUUUUUACAAAAGAAUGGGAACCUACAUCCUAAAAGAUACAAUUAUGCAGAUGUGAAAAGCAUGACAAAGUCUUUUGCUGUUAAGCUAGGCCAAGGUGGAUUUGGUGCUGUAUACAAAGGUAACCUCUCUGAUGGCGGCCAGGUAGCAGUAAAGAUGCUAAAGGACGUCAAGGGUGAUGGGGAGGAAUUUAUGAAUGAGGUGGCUAGCAUUAGCAGAACUUCUCAUGUCAAUGUUGUUACCCUUCUAGGAUUUUGUUUGCAAGGAUCCAAAAGGGCUCUCAUUUAUGAGUACAUGCCUAAUGGUUCAUUGGAAAGGUAUACCUUCGGCACCAACAUCAACAGUGAAAAUAUACUAAGUUGGGAGAAAUUAUUUGAAAUAGCAAUUGGCAUUGCUAGAGGGCUUGAAUAUCUCCAUCGAGGAUGCAAUACUCGCAUUGUGCAUUUUGAUAUCAAGCCCCACAACAUUCUAUUAGAUCAAGAUUUCUGUCCUAAGAUCUCUGAUUUUGGAUUGGCCAAGCUAUGCCUGAAUAAAGAGAGUGCUAUAUCCAUUGUCGGUGCAAGAGGAACAAUAGGCUAUAUUGCCCCUGAGGUCUAUUCAAAACGAUUUGGAACAGUAAGCAGCAAAUCUGAUGUUUAUAGUUAUGGAAUGAUGGUACUUGAGUUGGUUGGGGCAAGGGACAAAAAUAUCAAUGCAGAUAGCGAAUCUAGUAGCCAAUAUUUCCCUCAGUGGAUUUAUGAGCAUGUGGAUGAAUACUGCAUCAGUGCUUCUGAGAUUAAUGGUGAGACCACAGAGCUUGUGAGAAAGAUGAUAGUGGUAGGUUUGUGGUGUAUACAAGUGAUCCCAACUGAUCGGCCAACAAUGACUAGAGUCAUGGAGAUGCUGGAAGGCAGCACAAGUAAUCUUGAACUACCACCCAAAGUGCUCUUGGGUUGAUAUGCAUCAAUAUGUUCCCAAUAAAAAUGUUACUCACUGAAACCAGUUUGCUCAAAUGCAAAUUUUUGUUGUACUUAAAAAAAGGUCAUGCAUCAAAUGUUACUUUUGGUAUGUAAACAGAGAUGGAACUAAUAUAUGAAUUGCUGACCAGGGGUGGUCAUAUAGCAUCUCAUGAUGAUGUUAUUUGAUCAGACUAGCUACAAGUAUGGUUUCACUUCUUUGCACUCGUACUGAUUUCACUAGGCAAAUGCGUUACAGAUUCAGUAGUGAGUGAGUUUACAUCCCCACGAAAUACAUUAGCACAAAAUACGUUUUCAUCCCAAUUCAGAUCAGAACUGCAAUGCUCAGUUGCUGAAAAUACUUGAACUGGUUAUUGGAGAUUAGGUUUUGAGAGCCAGAGGUUUCCAAAAGUAAGAGUGGCCCAAAUAGGACCAACGCGGCCACUGCUCAGGUUUCAGAUGUUUGCCAUGGACCACAGCGGGUGCCGCCUGCGUCGAUGUUUGCCUCCACGACCUCCGCCUGAGUGCCCGUCUCGAUGCCAGGGUAGCUCCCAGCAGAUGGCUAUGCUCGCUGUCCAAAUCCACCGGAUCGCACAGACCAGAGCGCACACGAGAGGCGGCGGUGACUGGAAGGAAGAAAGGUGCUGACCAGAUCCUUUUUAGUUUUGCGCUGGCCGUGGGUCACUUGACAGAGCCCAACGAUUUGCGCGCCCAACACAACUUUGGUUGCAUGUGGAAAUUUCGCCGCCACGACUGACCGCGCGAUCUGUUAAUACGAUUGCGAAACAUACCCGAAACUGUGUAUUGUUUCAUUCAUUGGUUCAUUGCUGACAGCGAUUCAUCGGGCCGGUCGUGGUGAGGCUGGUCACUACUCCAGACACUGCUCACUACUUACUACUCCCUCCAUUUUUAUUUACUAGUAUGUGACAUGAUGCGCUGCUACUAAUGAAGGUCCAAGAUUUUAUUUUCUUAUUUAUUUACUUAUCUGGCCCUUGCUUUUAACACCUUGCCUCUCAUGCACAAUUACCUGAUUAAGCUAGCUUGUCAUAUAUUGCUUGCCUAGAAUGUUAGGAGCGACAUAUUUUUGCUUGAUUCAUCAUCAUCAUCUGCAUUCUUGAUUGUAUUACAGCAAAGAAGCUGGGACAACAGGGAGCAUGGAUAAGGAGGAGAAUAAGGAAGCAUCAGUGAGCAUUAGCAACGAUGACACGGACACCAAUGAUUUUGAGGAUGACGACUAUGAUGACGAUGAUGGGAAGCACACCGUGGCGCUUGGUCCUCAGGUUCCCCUCAAGGAGCACCUUGAGCUCGACAAGGUAACAUGGUUAUGCCUGAUCACGUCAUGCGAUUAUGUGACACCUUCAGUAUCUAGGUUAGGCCACCAUCUAUGCCGUUAUUACUGUUGCUUCCCCAUCCAUUUACCCUUUGAAUGCGAUUUAUUUGCCUAGGAUGAUGACAGCCUAAGGAGGUGGAAAGAGCAGCUCCUCGGAGAUGUUGAUACCACUAAGCUUGGAGGUACAUUUAAUACCGCACUAAUGCUCGCACAUGUGUUGCAAUGUCAGAAAUUUUAUGGUGUGUCCAUGGCAUGAUCUGAUAAUUUUUUUUCGCUGAAGCCUUGCUGUUUCUUUCAUUCACUUUCAGGCACACUAAGGGUGUGUUUGGUUGCAUACACCACAUGAUGCAUGCAUGGAUGAUCCUGGAUGGAGUGGUUCAACCAAUUUGCUUGUACCAUAUGGUUCACUCUAAUUAGUAGAAUAAUGUAUUAAGUGGGAUGGCCUCAUCCUGGAUGAGUUGGUCCAAUUCACCCAACCAAACAAAAGGAUCAUUAUUAUUUUGAAUCAUUUCAUACAUGAAUCAAAUGAUACAACCAACUAAACACACCCUAAAGCACAAAUAAGCUAACCUUUAAUUUUUUCUUAAGAGACAAGAUAACAUCGAGUUAGAAUUCCGGUGUAGCUAAAUAUGUUAACUUGAACAUGGCCUGGAAAGUGCAGUCAAUCAAACAAAGCUUCCAUAUGCUUGGACUGAUAGUACCUUUCUGUAUGCAGAGACUGCAGAACCAGAGGUGACCAUAUUGAACUUGACCAUCCUAAGUCCAGAGCGACCGGAUCUGGUUCUGCCGAUCCCACUUGUGCUGGAUGACAAGGGGUACGCAUUCUCGCUCAAGGAUGGGAGCACCUACAGUUUCCGCUUCUCCUCCACUGUCUCCAACAACAUUGUGUCUGGUCUCAGAUAUACACACAACUUCUGGAAGACUGGAGUAAGAGGUGACUUAUAAUCAAUCAUAUGCAUAGAUGUUUAUCAUCUUUGUUGGUUACGUGCUGAUGCUGCAAUUUAUGAGAAUAAGGAUGGUGGCAUGAAUUUUGAGUAGUUUUACAUGAUCCUUGUGUUAAUUGACAUCUGCAUUACAUUGUAGUGCUGGUUAUGUAAAUGCUUACCGUAAAACUACUAACUAUUUGGCUCAUGAAUUUUGCAUCACACAUGAUUGGUCUUUUUUAUGUAAACAUAAUUGCCAUUGUCCUUUUUUUUUGCAACGAAUGUUAAUGUUCAUCUUCACUUACCUGGAAGUCAGUUGGCCUUUGAUAUCGAAAUCCCAGUCAUUGAGUCAGCGCAUGCUCCCCCUCAGCCUAAGAUAGUUGACCUCCCGGUUGCUUUUGGCAGUGGAAAAUCAGAAGGUGAUGCUGGGGACCUACAGUCCUCAGCAGGAGCCUUACACAUACGAGGCCGAGGAAGCUACGACACCAAGCGGCAUCUUUGCAAGGGGUUCAUAUUCUGCAAAGCUGAAGGUAAGGAAACCCCUCUAGUAUUUUCUACACAUUUGAAGCCUACCUUCCUGAAUUUUCUACACAUUUGGAAAUGCAUAGCCCAGUGUCGUAAUGAAUUUGUAUGAAUUUGGCUUUCCAGUUCGUGGACGAUGAUGGGAAAGUCUACCUGGAAUGAGCUACUGCUUCGAGAUCCGAAAGGAUUGGCCAGCCUCGGCCUGAAACUGAGAAAGAGUGUGAAAACAGGGUUUAGGUGGCAUGUAACAGGGGAUGGAUAUUGGAUAGUCCUGUGUCUUGUGUACGAUUCUCGCUGAGCGACGGCGUGGCCCGGCAAUCUAAGCCGGAAGGCCGAAAACAGAAUUCGUUGUGUUGCCUGAUGGGCAUGGCUCGGAAGAAUCCUCGUGAGAUGCUACUUUGAAUCUGUGGAGUUCAUUUAUCCAUUGCUGUGUUGUUUCUGAACCCGCGGAAUGAACUUGUCUGUUACCUCUCAGCCUGCUGCCCUGGUUGUAUUGUAUUGUCCUCCUAGUCCUACUGCUAUAAUUUACGGAAUUUCUGACGACUACUCGUGGAAAAACAUGUAACUAGCAGAAACGUCUGUAAGUUGCUACGGAUCUUUAUUUUCACGUUAUUAUUCGCUUGUUCCUAAUAUGUUAGCUUCGCUUCCGAAUAUAUUGGUGCGUUCUACAUUUGCCACGUCAUCGAUCCACAACUCCGAAACCGCGGAACUUCUCCUCCACCCUUCCCUCUCUCACCAGCCAAUCUUAUUUCCUCCCUCCCUCUCUUCUCUCCCAACCUCUCCGGCACGCCCCGUGGAGGAACCCCGACGUUAUUGCAUCUAUACAUGGCGUAUCGCCCCGGGUGUAGGGGAGUUUGGCCCCAACACGUCUUCUCAAUGCAUUCCCCUGGUGUGUCUUUUCCGGCUUUUCCCCAUCAUUUACCACGUGCACAAGAAGAGAGCAUUGCCGCGGGCUGCCUCCCUCGCACCGCUCAAGCCCACGAAAAAACUUGCCGCUUACAAACUCUUUACCCUCCGAGGCUGGAGCAACGGGCACACGCCACUAACGCCUGGCGAGUUCCUUGUCUGAGGAGCGUUCUCUUACGCUGGCCUCAGCAUGGAUGAGAUGGCCUUUUGGUACUAAUACAAGCUUUGCAUUUAAGAAGAAACGGAUUGUAAAUCUCUCGGUCUGGCUCUGUCAUGUUGCUCGCUGCGUGCGCGUUCUGGAAAAUCCCCCAAAGGGGCCUGGGUUGCCUCACGAGACGCUCAUGGGCUUAUUCGGACCCACGAAAUAGCAAAACGUAACAAGUCCGGUCGGUCAUCUCGUUGGCUAGAUCGAGCUCUGAAGAAACAUACGACACGAUGACAUUUGAAAGACUGAAACUGAUCGAUUGCACGCAAGCUGGCUCAUCCGCCAUGCAUGCAACUCUAACGGGCUAACGGCUAACGCACCAGGGCCGCCUCACCUGCUAGGAGUGAGGAGGAGGAAAACAAUGGGGAAGGGUAAGGUGCAUCCGUCGCCGUCGCUGCCGGCGGCGGCGGCAGGAGGAGAUUCAAACCAAAGCACUACACCAUAAUAUGACAUAAGACCUUAAGGUACCUGAAGCGUCCCCACAUAAGUAGAGACUAAAUGUGAUACAAGUAUCAGUCCCAGGAGGUUGAUAACACAUUUAUUCGACAGAUAAUUCAGUUACCGUACAACUCCCGAGGGAGUGGGCGUGAAAGCCACGCAGCGAUAAGAAGUAAAUAAACAACAGCGGCUAACCAAGCGACUGCCAAAAGACAGCACUCGGGACUACACGGCAGCAGCAGCAUCUUGGAAAGGCCAACACCACAGGCAGCGUUGGGUGCGGACACGGCCUCUACUCAAAGUCCUCGGCGAUGAAGUCCGGGUCUUCCUCUGUGGCAACGAAGCAAGGGUGAGUACAAACGUACUCAACAAGUCCAACCCCAUCCACGGAGGUGGAUACAAGCAAGUAUACGCACAGGAUAUAUCAAGGAUAGGCUAGAGUUCAUUUGCGGUAAAGCUAGAUCUUUAACACAUGCAUGGGCUCGUUUUCAAAUGAGUUUUCGUAAAGCUUUUCUUUAGUAACCGAAACAUCGAGUGGGGUUGAUCCUACACAAAGGAUCCAAGUUUUAUCACUAUCGGACUCCCCGUCCGCCAUAGCUCACGGCACAACUGCCGGACACUUCCAAAAUACACACACACACACACAUGUGACCAUCCAUGCCCAAGUGCUAGUUAUGUGACCAAGCCAUAACUUGUCCAAUGCCGUGGACACGGCUACCCGGAUAGGUUUUAACUCUGCAGAGGUUGUACACUUUUUCCACAAGUAGGGUACCGCAGCACGAUCACCUUAGUGCCGGUGCGGAUCCUAACAAAGCCAUUACCCACCUUAGCUAAGACUGGCUAGUCCUCACGGAAGCACCCAAGGAGUUCACAGCUCAUCCACGAGACCGUAAUCGGGACCUAAGUCACCAAGAUAUUACUCCUUUUCCAUGGGCUCCCGUUGCUCACCAGCACCCCUGAAGACUAACAGUUCAGCUAGUGGGAUUUAUGCUAAGCCGUUGCCCAUACAACGGUCGAGUGGUUGCACGAUGGUUGAAUUAGGCAAGAUGACACAUCAACUCAGUCCUUAACCAUGACAAGAUGGAUAUCUCCCGACGUCGCUCAACCACUAAGGUACGAGCACCACAUCCUGGCAUUUCACACAAGAAACACCCAUCCAUCUCGUCUACACAUCCCUUUCCGGAAAAACCAUUUGCCCACUUGAACACACACACACACACAUUUCUUCUUCAAAUAAACCAUUAUAAUAAUGAUUGAAGUCGAGUAGCAAUUUCCUAAGUGCUCUAGUAGUGGUUAUCAUCUAAACAGAGCAAGUCAUAUUUAAAGAUAAACAAGAGACAACAAGGAAGAUUCAUAACAAUCAAGGGGUGGCUAUCCAACCAUGUCUUGCAAUAAAACAAUAUGCAUUUUAUAAAACAGGCCAAUAGGUUGUGUUUGAAAAACUAUGUAUUAAGUAUGCAUCGAAGGGUGAGAUUGGACUUGCCGUCUUCAAAGCCUUCUGGGAGUUCCGGCUCGCGCUGCUGGUCCUCGGGCUCGGGCUCGCGGUCAAACUCUUCCUCGGGUAAUCCGCGAUCUACGGCACACACAAACGGACACACAAAUAAAUAAAAGAAAAUCGGUUUUUAUCCGUUGAGCUCCGAACAGAAAACGCGAACGGAAAAUAGGUAGAAGUAAUAUUUUUGGGAAAUUUGGAUAUGGGUCGGCGGAAGUAUUCUGGAGGAUGACGUGGUAAAAUUUGGGAUUAGUUGGAGGAAGUUUGGCGCAUGAAAUGACGAGUUAAACAUGGAUUAGGGGCUUAAAAAGGAGGUUUAGGACUGAUUUGCGAUAAACCAGGGACCUAUUUGUAAAUAUUUCUGGAGGUGGAGGGGCUUAUUCGCGAAAAGGGUUAUGAGAGUGGUGGAAGGACCUAUGUGCAAUUUGGGAAAACUUGGGGGUCAAAUCGGGAAUAUAGGAAAUCUUAUCUCCUCCAGGAACUUGGAGAGGGAGAGAGAGAUGGGGGGGUUGGCCGGCGGCGGCCAGCCGGCCGGGCCUCGCCGGCGGCGAGCCGAGGGCCGGGGGUGGCGGAGGAAAGGGAGGGGGCUCCAUUUUGCCCAUUACCGUGCGAACUUGGAGGUGGAGGAGGGGCGGCCGGCGGUGGUUAGGUGGCGGCGGCGUUCGGGUGGAGGAGCACGGGCGGCGGUGGCGGCUUGGCACGGGCGGCGGGUGGAGGAGGUCGGGGGGGGUGCGGCGCAGCUUGGGGAGAGGGCGGCCGGGGCGGUCCCCUUUUAUAGCCGGCGAGGUGAGGGCGGCCGGUGUUGCGGUGGGGCCGGCGGUGGCGUGCAGCACGCGGCGGGCGGCGCCGGAGGGGCGGUAGGGGCCGGCGGUGGCGUGCGGUGGGCGACGACGUGGAGUAGGGCCGGGGCGCGGCGUGGCGGGCACGCCGGCGGGGCUGGGCCGGGGCCGGCAGUCGUGCCGGCGCCGGCGACGUGCGGCGUAGUUGCUGAGGCCGGGCGGGCCGGCGCAACGCGCGGGGCCGGGGCGGCCAGGCGCCGGAGCAGCCCAGGCGGCUGGGGGAGUUAAGGCCCGGGGGGGUCCGGCCAGGGGUGGUGUUGGGGCCGACCGGGAGGAGUGGCGCCAGGAAGAAGAAGGAAGGAGGAGAGAGAAGAUGGAAGGAGGAAGAAGAAAGAAGAAGAAGAAGAAAGGAAGAAGGAAAAAAAAGAAAAAGGAAAAGGGAGGGAAAAAGAGAAAGAAAAGGGGGAGACUGGCGGCGUUCGCGGCACGCGGUUGGAGCACGCGCACGGCAUCUGACGAUGGCACGCGGCGAGAAUUACGGGCACGGAUAAAAUGAUAGAUGUCGGCUUGGGUGCCGGGACGGCGAAAUCGCCGGGAAGAUUUUAGAUUUCCGGGAGCUCAGCGGUAAAAAGAUUUUGAAGCGAUUUUUAACGGGCGAUUUUAGGUUGGUGAUUUUGCGGAUGUUAUAGUACCACCAGAUAAACACGCAUCAGUAGCACGAUUAGUAAGAAAACCACAACUUAGAGCAUACAUCCAUGGCCCUCAAAGCAAGAAUAGUACUUAGAAGAAUCUUCAAGCAGAUGGUUUCACAUGUAGCUAGCACUAAACUACACUGCACAGAUAUAGCAACUAUAAAACCCACAUUCUAAAUUUCCUUGAAAUGAUCCUUUCAAUUGAGCUGACUAUUUGAUAAUGAUAGAACAACAAGCCACCUUCAUGAGUAUGUCAAUAGUACUAAAUCAAAAUCCUGUUCUAACAUCCAAAUAAAAGCAUCGCUAUGUCAACCAUGAAUCCAUGAUUCAUACAGUGCAUGGAUCUGUAUACACCUCAUAACUAGCACCAAAUAAUCCGACCAAUACUGCUUGAUGAAAUAAAUAGCAAAUUGACACCAUAUACUUGUAAAUUCCAAACACACCUAAGCAACCAUAUCUUAUCAUAACUAAACCUUCUGAUGAGACUGACUACCAUGAGAGGAACAUGCCCAAUGCAAAAACCGCAGAAUUCUGAGCACUCCACUUGCCUCCGUAUUCCAAUAACAAGUAUCAGGUACAGUUUCCAUCACAAAAAUUAGGCGUACGAACAAAUUAUCCUGAACAGAAUCAUCAUGCAAACCAGAGAUAGAUCGAGACCAAACCCUUCAAAUUAUCCUAUUUCGGCUAAGCCCGGAUGCUUCGGGUGCUACAUGGCCUACUGGUCCUGUUGGGAUGGGUCCCUGGAGGGCGACCGCGAGGCCAUCCACCACGCCAUCGAGGCCUUCGAGGAGCACCUGGCGAAAGAAGAGAUAGAGGGCACCGGUGGCGACAAGUGGGGAGGCGGGGCCCGUCGUGGCCGUAAGAAGCGCGCCGCCAAGGAGAAGGCCACCAAGGGGAAGGGGAAGGGCAAGAGCAAGGAGGUCGUCGUCGACCCCCUCCACCUCCCACCGCCGCCGAUGGCAACGGCGGCUUCCCCUACUCCGGAGGAGGUCCCGAAGGCGGAGGACGGCGCGGAGUACCUCACCGCGGAGGAGGAGAAGGAGCAUGAGCUGGAGAAUGCCGCCGCCGGCGAGGAGGAUAAGCGGGGGCGCGGUUGGGGCGGCGUGCUGGCCGACCUCGCUGUCGAGGCCGUGCGCAGGGGCAGCGCGGGGUAGCGACGGGACACCCCGCUCUGGCCGUCGUUCGCGCCCAAUCCCCCCCUUUGCCUCUGAAAGGACAAGCUUUUUCCCCUUUAACCCCCUCCCUUCCCUUCUUUUUCCACCCGAGCUCCUCAUCUGUUCAGCAUUUGGACUGCGGGUUGAUUAUUAAAAAGUUGAGGAACUUUUUUGCAAAAUGACCACAAUGGUUGGAAGAAACAACCGCUCUUUUAAUUAGGUAUAGAUAAGACGCACAUGCAUAUCAAAAUUCAAACUUUACAAUGUUUGACUAAUAAUUUUUUAUUUUUAUAAUGUAAAUUUUAUAUGGUUGGAUUCGUAAUCAAAUAUACUCUGGAAUGAUUAUAAGUUUAUAACCAUAAAUAAUAUAAUAUAAGAUAAAUGAAUGGUCAAAGUGUUAUUUGGAAAACCGUGCUAAGUCGUAACAUGCCUUAUAAAUCUAGAUGGAGGGAGUACUAGUCAGCAGCCACUAGCCACUGGUGCAGGUUUUCCUAAUUUGAUUUGGCUUAUACUCCCUCUAUCCCAAAAAUAAAUUGUCAACGUUAACUUAUUUAGUAUGUGAAUGUGCAGGUGGAAGUCAAUUAGAGUCAAAUGUGGCUAAUAAAUAGGAACAAGCAAAAUCAUCUCAUAUUUUUGUUAAUUUAUCCUACUUUUUUUUAGGAUGGUUUGUUUUUUUAACAGAGGUAGUAUUGAUCAAUACUCCUACAUUUUAAUCCACUUUUAGUAACACUCUGUAUGUAUCAACAAAGGUAAAAGUUGGCCCACCAGAGAGAAGAUGAUGAGCCAAGAGGAGUUACCUGCACUAUGAGUUGAGUGGUCUAGUAGACAGUAAUGGAUAGACUCUUGUACUCAAUUUGUGAUGGAGUAUUAUUCUAUAGUUCAAACCAAACCUUUUCAUGGGUAUCUAACUCGGAUCUAGUUUGGGAGCACAAUGGUAGGUCCGAGUGCGCUGCCACCUAGACUGGGUUUCGAGGAGGCAGGGGGCAGGGGAUAACAAAUGAUGUGAUGCGGGACGGUAGAUGGUAGGUUCCACCUAUGUGAUCAACAUUCUCAAGGGCAAUUUAGUGUAUUCACCAAUAAUCUAACAUGCACUCUGGUUGAAAGUGAGAUAGAAUUGAUGGAAAUGUUAAACGAGGUAUAAAAGUUUUAACAUAAAAAUGGCACAUGAGAAGUUGGAAGAAGAUAUACGAAGAAUGGCUUGGAUUAAAAGGAAGAUGGAGUAAAAAUACACAACAAAGUCAUUAAUGGAUAGCUCUCAUCGGAACAAUCAGUUGGACAUAUGGAUGACCUAAAUUGGACAGUGAACGUGAAAGUUAUGGAGAUUGAAAGAUGACAUGAACAAUAAUACAGUAUCACCUCGUUGAUUCGGUGCGGUGGUGUUUUCAAUGAUUCCCAAUGCAAGGUCAUACUGCAUGAUGGACUUUACUAUCAGAUAGCUCUCCUCAUGCUGAUCAAAAUGGACAUGUAGAUGAACCCAGGGAGUUAUGUUCGACUAAAGGUGACGCGCUACAAUUGAUUGGUCUUAGUUAUAAAUUGAGCAUCAAAAUGCUCGGUCGUUACAGAUAGUUUGGGGAUUUUCUUCCAUAGUAGCACCGAUUGAUUCGGUCCUUCUUUGCUAAAUGAGCCGGCCAUUCCAUAGAGUCGAGAGGUUCACCAAUAGUAAGAUCGAUUGAUAUGGUGCUACUAUAGCAAAAUGGGUCGGUCAUUCCAUAGAGAUUGAGGAGGCUUCUCUAACCUCACCGAUUAAUUCGGUAAAAUGCAUUGGUCCUUCCACCGAAUGAGUAAGCCAUUCUAGAGCCGAAUCUGAGCCGAGCCUAUGAGCAACGAUCGAUUCAAUCAGGCCUAACCCUAAGGCAUCAACGAAUGGGUCGGUACUUGUUCCAAAUUAUGGAUUUUAACGUGUUUUCUAGAUUUAUUUUGUUUGAGGGUUUUCUUAGCCCAUGUAUUAUUGGUUCGGGACUAUUUAAUGCUCCCCUAUCUUUUGGACAAGUCCAUACCACCCCACAUAUACUUGAGGGGUGUAGGCUGAUUGAAUCAACCCAAUCAAAUCUAUCAAACACAAUUAGUCCUUUUUUCCCUUUACUGACUUUUCCAACCCUAGUUACUGUUCAUUUUUUUCAUCUCCACAAUGAUCUACAACGUCCUAGCUAGCCUGCUGAGUCUAGGGCACUCCAUUGACCGCCACAUCGUGAUGGAUCCCUCUCAGGCACGGCAUUCAUCAGAUUCAAGUCCUUCUACAGCAUGCCUUGCACAUCAUACUCGUUGUUGAGGGUACAUGUUGUGCCUUUAGUGUAAGGCAUGAGCCAGUAAUAUGGAAAGAAAAUAUUUAUAGUGUCAAACUGUCGAUCGAAGUAAGGCAUAUAAAUUUCCUCAUUUUUUUUGCCAUGUCAAACAUUUAGGCAGCGUCGGAGGAAAUAAAUAGCAGUUGACUCGUGAUGUACAACCAAAAAAAAGUUUGUAGGAUCAAGUUCCACCACUGAAAUGGCAAGUUCAUGUUUGGAAUGGAUGAAUCAGCGUUAUUGAGGCUUUGACUUUUCUUCUGCCCCAAAGAAAAAUCGGAGUGCAGUUGUUAAUAUUUAUCAGGAAAUUAUUUAUAAAUAUAUAAAUACCAUUUUCCACACUGGUAGAGAUCAGCGGACACUACUAGUACAGUACUACUACCAAGUUUUACAAGUCAAGUCGCCGGUAGCCGAACUCUUAACACUCGUUCAGUUGGUAUUUUUGACUCUCCUUACACCAAGUGAUGGUCGACGUCUCCAUUGUUAAAGGAUAGGUUUCGGUUUCUCUCUUCCCCCGCAUCACUUUUCUUUCACGAUUUUCUGCUUGCUUGAACUUCAGACGGUGUGGAAUGUUCCUUUGCUGAGAUUGCGCGGUUACUUUUAUGUUUGAUCAUACUUUUUCCAAGAAAAAAUCUCGCGGUUGACGUGUUCCUGUGUGAGGACGUUCUUUCCGCGUAAUCGCGAGUCGCCGCUCGGAAGUCGUGCGUGCGCCGCUCGGAAGCUCACAUACCAAUCGGAGCUAACAAAUUAAAACAGCCAGAUGAGCUCGCCUCGCCUUCUCGCCGUCAUGGCUGCUCACCUACCACGCCUCCCCGUCCUCCUCUUCAUCUUCCUCGCCCUUCAUGUCCCCGCCUCCCAUGGCGACCCUCUUCCAACCACAUACGAUGGCUCCAUAUGCUUGGAGUCGUCGUUCUCGUGCGGCAGAGUCCAAAUCCGCUACCCGUUCUACCUUGCCAAUUCAACCAAAGCAACCUCCGAUUACAGCGGAAACUACUCUUGCGGCUACACCGAUCUGGAGAUCUCCUGCCUGGGCGAGGGGCCGAGCGCGAGCCCGGUCAUCCGUCUCGGCGGCGAAACCUACACCGUUCAGGACAUCUCCUACGACAGCGACAACUACAAGGUUACUCUGGUGGACAGAGACGUGCUCGUCGGCGGCAGCUGCCCUGCAGUCCGCCACGGCGUCACCUUCGACGGGAUGUGGCUGCAUAACACCAGCUCCAACGACGACCUCACCUUCUACUUCGGCUGCUACUCAGGCGGGCCCCGCAUGCCGGCUGGAUUGCACAAAUACCAAAUCGACUGCAAUUUCGAGAGUCCGGUUCCUGGCGGCGGAGUUGCGUUUGUAUUGACACCUGAUGAUCAUGACAAAGCCCAAGAGCACG
rnacentral:lncRNA from 1 species